AAAUAAUAUAACCCUGUAAUAUAAAAUUCCCAAACUUUCAGAAAAUAUCUUCUCCCAUUUUCUCUCUUUCUACUGUUCGUAUCCAUUUUGGAUUUUGAUUCUCGUUUCUCUCCUCCUUAUUAUAAUUUUUUUUUUUGCUCUGAUUAUGCCCUAGAUUUGUUGUUAUCUUCCUUUUUCUAAUCAAAAGGUUUAACGCAUUUGGAAUCUGAAUUACAAUUCUCAACUCAGACUGAGUGGUGACGAAACAAGUUUAUCUAUGAAGUAGAGGACAUAUAGUUUUGCUGGUUUUUAGGGUUUAAUUAAUCGUCACGGAUGUUCUUUAGGCGAUGAUGACUUAAUUGAUGUCAGAUUCAUCAUUUUCUGAGGGAUUCUACUCCAAACAGUACUUGGCGACUAGAGGUGCUGUGCUCCUUGUACCAGUCAUUCUCAUUGUAUAGAAGGAAAGCAAGAAAUCCCCGUGAACCAUACCCAAAGCAAUUUUUUCCAGCUUGACAGUGGAAUUUUUCAUUCUUGGAACUCAUCUCUGUCGCUGUUUUCAGCAGGCUUACCGAGCUAGCGGACGUUGUUUGCGAGAGAUAAUCUGUAGUUAUCUUCUCAAAAUUUACCGAUCCAGAGAGCGUUGCUUGCAGUUGCACAUUGUAGAAACUGAAAAAGGAACAAAAGAAAGUCAGCUUAGCAGCAAUAAAGGCGCAUAGGAACUCGCUCAUGGGAACCCUGAGGAAAUUGUUCGCGAGUAAUGUGACCCUCAGGUAACUUUUCAUUAAUCUUCAUAUUGGUUUCAUAUACAUAUGCAGAAAUAAUCUCUAUAAUAUAUCUACGUGCAAGGCGUGCCUAAGGAGUCGUCUGCGGGUGGGGCGCCUGGCUUCACCUUGCGCCCCAGACAACAUAGAACAACUUGAUCGUAAGGUUUCUCUUUCAAGAAUGUUUGAACACAAAAAACAUUAGACAUCAGCAGUGCUUCCUUAUUGCUUUGUAACUUUACAUAAAGUAGAUGCACUGAACAUGCCACAUGAAUUCUAAAGUUGGUCUCAAUGAUACGGAAAUCCAAAUGACCAUGCAUUUAUGGGGUAUCGAGUUAUAUAUCUUCACAGUCCCUUGACCCGUUGCUACGGUAAUUGAAGGCUGCGAUGGAUGAUAAUAGAAUAUAGCUUGUUAGUGCUUAAAUAAAAAAAUAUGGACUCAUGAGUUUAACUAGUUCAGGCGAGAAGAAUAUACCCCAGCUUUGUAGCCUUUUCUGAGGAAGCAUGGUCGUCCUGUUGUGGCUGGCUUAGCUGGAGAUGGACGGGUACAUUCAGGUCAUCUUCAAUGCUAAAAGCAUUUGGAAGAAGUGAUGUUCGAUUGGCUCCACUGGUAUUUCCAUAAACCUGAGACUUUAAACAUUACUUUUAAGUUGUACUGUAUGCAACUAUGCAAAUCAUACAUUUGGCGUAAUGGUGGAAGUAAUGAACGGCCGAAUGUUAGGUAUAUUAGGUUUAUUGAGGCUAUAUGGAGUUCAUUAGUAGGCUAAUCAUUACCUUUUUGUGCAAAUCCAUGUUUUCUCGAUGAAUGAGGUUUACCUUCUUA